rnacentral:rRNA from 1 species
UACGGAGGGGGUUAGCGUUGUUCGGAAUUACUGGGCGUAAAGCGCGCGUAGGCGGAUUAGAAAGUUGGGGGUGAAAUCCCGGGGCUCAACCCCGGAACUGCCUCCACAACUACUAGUCUAGAGUUCGAGAGAGGUGAGUGGAAUUCCGAGUGUAGAGGUGAAAUUCGUAGAUAUUCGGAGGAACACCAGUGGCGAAGGCGGCUCACUGGCUCGAUACUGACGCUGAGGUGCGAAAGUGUGGGGAGCAAACAGG